rnacentral:rRNA from 1 species
AGAGUUUGAUCAUGGCUCAGAACGAACGCUGGCGGCGUGCUUAACACAUGCAAGUCGCGUGCGCAGUUUCGUAGCAAUACGGGAUGGGCGCACGGCGCACGGGUGCGUAACACGUGGGCAAUCUGCCCUCCGAUGGGGAAUAACCCCGCGAAAGCGGGGCUAAUACCGCAUAACAUUCCUUGGACGAUGGUUUGAGGAUUCAAAGCAGUGAUGCGUCGGAGGAGGAGCCCGCGCCCGAUUAGCUAGUUGGUGAGGUAACGGCUCACCAAGGCAAUGAUCGGUAGCUGGUCUGAGAGGAUGGCCAGCCACACUGGAACUGAGACACGGUCCAGACUCCUACGGGAGGCAGCAGUGGGGAAUCUUGCGCAAUGGGCGAAAGCCUGACGCAGCGACGCCGCGUGGGGGAUGAAGCUUUUCGGAGUGUAAACCCCUUUCGACUGGGACGAAUGCCCGCAAGGGAGUGACGGUACCAGUAGAAGAAGCCCCGGCUAACUACGUGCCAGCAGCCGCGGUAAGACGUAGGGGGCCAGCGUUGUUCGGAAUUACUGGGUGUAAAGGGUUCGUAGGCGGUGCGGCAAGUCGGGAGUGAAAUCUCUGGGCUUAACUCAGAGGCUGCUUCCGAAACUGCCGUGCUUGAGUGUGGGAGAGGCGCGUGGAAUUGCAGGUGUAGCGGUGAAAUGCGUAGAUAUCUGCAGGAACACCCGUGGCGAAAGCGGCGCGCUGGACCACAACUGACGCUGAGGAACGAAAGCUAGGGGAGCAAACAGGAUUAGAUACCCUGGUAGUCCUAGCCCUAAACGAUCAGGACUUGGGGUGCCGCCCGUUCGGGCGUCGUCCCGGAGCUAACGCGUUAAGUCCUGCACCUGGGGAGUACGGUCGCAAGACUGAAACUCAAAGGAAUUGACGGGGCCCGCACAAGCGGGUGAACAUGUGGUUUCAUUUCGACG